UUACCUUCGGGUAUUGAGGAUGGCGGACGGGUGAGUAACGCGUAAGGAACUUGCCUCUUGGUCUGGGACAACUGUUGGAAACGACAGCUAAUACCAGAUAUUAUGAGAUUCUCGCAUGAGAAACUUAUGAAAGCUAUAUGCGCCAAGAGAGAGCCUUGCGUUCCAUUAGCUAGUUGGUGGGGUAACGGCCCACCAAGGCGACGAUGGAUAGCCGGCCUGAGAGGGUGAACGGCCACAAGGGGACUGAGACACGGCCCUUACUCCUACGGGAGGCAGCAGUGGGGAAUAUUGGACAAUGGGCCACAAGCCUGAUCCAGCAAUUCUGUGUGCACGAUGAAGGUCUUCGGAUUGUAAAGUGCUUUCAGUUGGGAAGAAGAAAGUGACGGUACCAACAGAAGAAGCGACGGCUAAAUACGUGCCAGCAGCCGCGGUAAUACGUAUGUCGCAAGCGUUAUCCGGAUUUAUUGGGCGUAAAGCGCGUCUAGGCGGAAAAAUAAGUCUGAUGUUAAAAUGCGGGGCUCAACUCCGUAUUGCGUUGGAAACUGUUUUUCUAGAGUACUGGAGAGGUGGGCGGAACUACAAGUGUAGAGGUGAAAUUCGUAGAUAUUUGUAGGAAUGCCGAUGGAGAAGUCAGCUCACUGGACAGAUACUGACGCUAAAGCGCGAAAGCGUGGGGAGCAAACAGGAUUAGAUACCCUGGUAGUCCACGCCGUAAACGAUGAUCACU
rnacentral:rRNA from 1 species